UGAUAUCAACUGACAAGCACAGGAGCACCUGACCUCCUUUUAGUGGCCAAACGGCUGCAUCUGUGUGUCUUUGUGGCAGGCCAAACGCCACCUCCACUGAGCACAUGAUGAGAGGAAUUCCUUCCUGCACAGGGCUUGAUGUAAUCCCUAAUACAGGAUUGAGGAAUGCCAGUGAAAACAACACCCGGCUUGCUAAAUGAAUGGCAAACAGCAGCAGCAGGAGCAGCAAAGACUCGACUCUCAAAACCUGUCAACAAAUAUGUUUGCGGCCUCAGAGAGGAGACGUGGUCUGCUGGGUUUCCCGGUGGAAACCAGCUUUCAUUCUGGCCAGAAGAGAAAACAAUAACAAAAACAGCUGUCCUUCUCUGUGAGGAUCAAACUGUGGUCAGACAAUGAUCGCCGAGUCCCCAGGGGCUUGUGAAAGGGUCAACGGUGGUGCUCUGUCUGUGCGGAGGUUACUGUGCCACUGUGUGAUUGCCAGGCAGCAGUGGAGUUCCUCCAUCCAGGCUCGUCUCCAGCAGCACAACAAGUCAAGGCAUGUUCCAACACGCCACCAACAGCCGGACCGGUGUAUGAGCCUGCUCCUAGACCAGAGGGGGAGGAGCAGAGGAUCAGAGAGAGGGGAAACCCAGGAAAAAGACCCAGCAUGA
rnacentral:lncRNA from 1 species